GCUUCCUCUUAUCCAAUUGACCCCAAAUUUUGCAUGAAUCAUCUAUCACUUGUCUAGUUUGUGUGUGAAUUUUCCUGGAAUUAAUCAUGCUGUUUUCCAUUUUAUUGAGAAUUUUCUUCCAUGCUUGGUCAUUUGUUGACUUUUUGUGCUAUACAUUGCCAAAUCUUUUGUGAAAUUCUCAAAUCUUAUUGUAUGACCAUGAAAUUUCAUAUGUGAUAACUAGACACCUUGAGCUUUGCAUUGGUGUUAAUCUCACUCAUUUCUCUUCUGUUUUC
rnacentral:lncRNA from 1 species